UUUUCUAGAGGCAGCACCAUUCAUUCGCCAUUCACUUUUUGCUCAAACUCCAGUUAUUUCUGUUAGAACGUAGAAACGGCAGGCUUGUUGUGCUCUCACUGCAGGGUUUUCUGGCUGCCAUGGCAACAGUAGCCUACCUGUAUCAAAAAAAAAGGCUGGAGCUGACAACUAGCGCUUUGGAGCUAUACACAACAACAACAACUGCAUAUCGGAAACAGCUCAGGAAUGUGCACAAAAAGGGUUGUGAACGAGAGGCUAUCUUUCUGCGCCAACAAACAAACAUCGACUGGGGCUUCAAAGACACGUCAAGCUGUCAUUCAGCGGGUUCCAGCCGAAUUGAAUUCUCAACAUCACAACUACAUCAGGAACUGGCAGAUUCAUAUAUAUAUAUAUAUAUAUA